CAGUCAGAGCAUUUCCAUAGAGAGCCACUUUGCAUCAGCAGCACCAUGCUCCAGUGCUCUGGGAGAGUUUAUAGUCCUGAGAGUUGAAGACUGGAUGACUGACAGCUGUCCUUCAUGACAACAGAAGACACAGAAAUCCUCCUCAUCAGAAACAUGACUUUGGUCUCCGUCCUCAUCUGGACUCUCCUCUGCUUCACUCAGGGGUCUGUUGGACAAAAUGUUGUUGUGACUCAGUCAGCAGCCAAAUCAGUGCAGCUUGGUCAGACUGUCUCUAUUGACUGUAAGGCCAGUCCAACAGUAACUCAUCGCUCUGGUUCACAAUACUACCUGUCCUGGUACCAUCAGAAACCUGGAGAAGCUCCUAAACUUCUGAUCUACUACACAUCAGACAGAUUUUCAGGAAUCUCCUCCAGAUUCAGUGGAAGUGGAGCAGGGAAUGGAGUUGACUUCACUCUGAUCAUCAGUGGAGUCCAGGCUGAAGAUGCAGGAGUUUACUACUGUCAGAGUCUCCACUCUAUCAACAGUCAGUGGGUGUUCACACAGUGAAAAAGCGUCGUACAAAAACCUCC